rnacentral:lncRNA from 12 species
GUGAAGUGCACGUUGUGGAGUUGUUUCAGAACAGAUUUUGACACAAACUUUGCAUGCAUGAUAAGAAGAGGCAGAAUUUCGGCUGAGUGUGUUGGUGAGGAACAAUAUCCAAGAUAAUUGUGUCCAGGCUGUAGGACAGUGACAAGAGAGCAGGAACUCAGUAUUCUCCUUUCUUCCUGUUUGGCCUCCUCUGCCCUGGAUGCAACGGGAGUAAACACAGUGGAAGGAUUUGUAUUCCAACAAAGAAGAACAAUUGCAGCAGUGUUUAAAUUCACAAGCCUGGAAGCCAUGGGAUCCCAGGAAUAGGCUUCUCCCUCUAGUGGCAGCAGAAAGGGAGAUGCAGAAUUCUUGGACCAGGUGAGAAAAAGGUUAAUUUGCUUGAGAAAUCAUGUCUAUGCCAGAGAAGGUCAACUUGUUCCAUCAUCGUGUUCUGCCAUUG